UUUAAACGUCAAACUUCUAUGAAAUUAUGACGUAUACAUAACACUUACACUGUGUGGGCUAUCAAAUCCGCUGCAGACUUUGUUUGGUGCGACUAUAUACUCGUUCUUCUCUAUAUUGGCCUUACCUAUAAAAAUAAUAAGUACAUAAUAAUUAAAGUCAUUAACGGGUCUAACGCGAUUAAAUCACCAAUAUCAGGGAGACCGCGCAUUGCUCGGAAAACAUAUAUAAAAACCCAAAAAUGUGCGUGUUCCCAGUGAUAAGAGCUCGUUAGAUCGAUUUAUCGCCCCCGAAAACGCCCUUAACAAAUUUCAUCGAAACCGUUAGAGCUGUUUCCGAGAUCCCCGAAAUAUAAGCCGAUUAGCGUAAGAAUAAUUUAUACUGUAAUGUAUCAUUAUCAGAAUAAAUAAACUAAAUUAAACAAUAUAUUGACCACAGCUAGUGCAACCUAGCUGAAAGAAAAAAUGUAAAAUAAUGAAGUUUAAUCGCGUUAUACCAGUUAAUGACAUUAAUUAUGUUUGAGUUUGGAAAAUGGGAGAGUAUAAAGUGUUAUAUUAAGUACAGUAAAGCCUGCUGGUUCCCUACGUUAAUUGGUUUUUCCGACUGUUGUAAUAAACUCGCAGGCAGGGUUUGAAAUAAUUAAUUACCUAAUACAUUAUGAUACAUGCGAAAUGUUGUGUGAUCUAAAUAAUAUUUGAGAUUAUUAUUACAUGUAAUUAUUUGCAGAUUAAAGUAAUUAUUUAUAUUAAUUUAAAAUGUUUUCAAAUGGGUAUCCUCGCGGGAUACCAAUCUGUGGCAGCUUUAAUAGUUUUAAGAAAUAUAAAUUAUUAUAUUACAUUAUUAAAUAUUGUAACGAAUUAUAUGUGCAUUUUAAACUGUA